rnacentral:rRNA from 1 species
UGGGGAAUAUUGCACAAUGGGGGAAACCCUGAUGCAGCGACGCCGCGUGAGCGAAGAAGGUUUUCGAAUCGUAAAGCUCUGUCCUAUGAGAAGAUAAUGACGGUAUCAUAGGAGGAAGCCCCGGCUAAAUACGUGCCAGCAGCCGCGGUAAUACGUAGGUGGCAAGCGUUGUCCGGAAUUAUUGGGCGUAAAGCGCGCGCAGGUGGUUUAGAAAGUCUGAUGUGAAAGCCCACGGCUCAACCGUGGAGGGUCAUUGGAAACUAAUAAACUUGAGUGCAGGAGAGAAAAGUGGAAUUCCUAGUGUAGCGGUGAAAUGCGUAGAGAUUAGGAGGAACACCGGUGGCGAAAGCGGCUUUUUGGCCUGCAACUGACACUGAGGCGCGAAAGCGUGGGGAGCAAACAGG